rnacentral:rRNA from 1 species
UACGAAGGGUGCAAGCGUUACUCGGAAUUACUGGGCGUAAAGCGUGCGUAGGUGGUUUGUUAAGUCUGAUGUGAAAGCCCUGGGCUCAACCUGGGAAUUGCAUUGGAUACUGGCAGGCUAGAGUGCGGUAGAGGGUAGUGGAAUUCCCGGUGUAGCAGUGAAAUGCGUAGAGAUCGGGAGGAACAUCUGUGGCAGAAGGCGACUACCUGGACCAGCACUGACACUGAGGCACGAAAGCGUGGGGAGCAAACAGG